rnacentral:misc_RNA from 1 species
GUAGGUGAACCUGCGGAAGGAUCAUUAUUGAAUAAACUUGGUUGGGUUGUUGCUGGCUUUUCGGAGCAUGUGCACGCCUAGCGCCAUUUUUACCACCUGUGCACUUCUUGUAGAUUUGAAACACCUCUCGAGGAAACUCGGUUUGAGGAUUGCUAUGCGAAAGCUAAGCCUUCCUUGCGUUUCAAGUCUAUGUUUUUAUAUACCCCAUAAGAAUGUUUUAGAAUGUCAUUAAUGGGCUUAAUUGCCUCUAAAUUAAUACAACUUUCAACAACGGAUCUCUUGGCUCUC